rnacentral:tRNA from 1 species
GCACCCGUAGCUCAGCUGGAUAGAGCGCUGCCCUCCGAAGGCAGAGGUCACUGGUUCGACUCCAGUCGGGUGCACCA